rnacentral:lncRNA from 1 species
AGUACUUCUCCCAUAAGGGUUUGGUAAACCUACAGGUUCAACAUGUAGUUUGAUCAUUCCAAAUAAGUUUUAAUUCUUUCUCAUCUAAACCAUUCUAUCAGGUAGAAAAGAGAUAAGUUAUUUCAUGUUUGAUACCAUUAUCUUAUGUUGAAUUUCAAAUGUUUUUUUUUGCUUCCCCCACUGCUUGUUUGGAAAAACGGAUUUGUUCAACAAUUUUUUAGUGUAAAUUUGUUGCUGAAAGAACUUAUGUGAAGUUUUUUUGCUGUUAUACAUAAGGGUUUUUAAAACACUUUCAAAUUUAAAAAUUAGUAAUUAUAUGGAUUUGGUAACCAAAUGUGUCUACAAGACCUAUAUGUUUAAUGAUUUUUAGGAGUUUUCCGGAUUAUUUAACUAUGUAAUUUCAUGACCUGUGUGUCGUUUAUUUAUUUUUCCAUGUUAUGUAUUUUUAUUUUAGCUAUAAUUGUACUUAGAUUAGAUUGGAAAAAUAAAUUGUAAAAGGUUUGAAGACCGCAAGUCACCAAACAGAAAUCGUGGAGACUGAUGUAUUGGUGCUAUUUGUAUCUCUUUAUGAUGGCAUUUGAAGAUGAAGCGGGCUAAUGACCAUAUGGUUGUUUUGUCCUUAUCACAAACAUGUUUUUUCAGGUGACGACUCACCAAAAAAAUACAUAGGAUCGAUGCAAUACUUAUUGUUAUAUUUGUAUGUGUUUGUAUUUGUUUUAUAUAUGUUUGGUUUAUUUAUUUAUUUAUUUUGAAUGAUUAGAAACUAAAAUAAAAUUUGAAAAACACAACAAUUUGUUUAAAUUAUUUUACAAGCGAUAUGCAAAUGUUUUUUUUUUUUUUUCUUUCA